CCAAAGGCUCUUUUCAGAGCCACUCAACUAUUAUCUGAAGAAGAGCU
rfam:Pongo abelii chromosome 6.